GCAUGCAGGGCGCGCGGUCGUGCUGCAUUAUUCAUAACACAUAGAUGACCACGCCCUCUGCGUGCAGAAGAGGCACAAAGUCUCCGCCCCCAACUACUGUAUAUUCAUAAUUCGCAGGUGGCCCCACCUCUCCAGGCCCUAGAGGUGGCCACUUCCACGCUGUAACUCCGCCUCCCCACGCGCACGCCUCCAGGCCCCGCCUUAUGUAUAAUUCCUCAGUUUCGAGGCCCCGCCCCACAGGCCUCUGACUUGAUGCAUUAUUUAUGAGAUCUCCUUUGCCUUCCGUCUUUGGCUUCUGCAGACCAGCGGAGAGGGCGUGUGGGAGGCGGAGCUUGAGGCUGGCCUGACUGCUGGGCGGGGCCGUGUAAAAGAAGGCGCGCGUUGGACGGUGGGUUGGGCCACUGCGCCUUCCCUUAAGGUGGGCGGCCGGGAUUCCGGGACGUGGAGCUGCGGGAAAGCUAGGAGGAGGAGGUGGAUCCGGGAAACUUCCUAGGACCAGAGGAGACUUCCAAGAGGGUGAAACCCAGCUCCCCACAGGCCUCACCCGUGGUGGACUACAGAGCCCUUUUCCAGAAAACAACUUUAUUAGCUCCGGUCUCCCUAAGUCACAAAGUGGCCAGGCUGGGCUCCAACUUGCCAUCCUGCCUCAGCCUCCCACAGUGCUGGGAUUGCUCGAGUGGCCACCACGCCCGGAGUUCGACCUUGUAAUUCCUCGGCACUUAAUACCUUCACAAUGUUGUGUCCUUACUGCUCUAAUUCCAGCAUGCUUCCAUUUCCCCAGAAGUGAAUUCCGCGGGCUGCAGUCACUCACUCCCCAUCCCCACCCCUAGCCCCUGGCUGCCACUAAUCUACUUCUGGUCUUUGGAUUCCCUUUCCUUUAAUGUUAUGUUUCCGAGGUUAGUUAUCCUCAUAGCAGGGAUCAGUGCCUGGUUUUGUGUAGUUCCCCCCCCCCCUUUUUUUUUGAGACAGGUCUCACUAUAUAGCUCAGGCUGACGAUCCUCCUGCCUCAGCGUCCAGAGUGCUAGGUGUGCACCGCUAUGCCCAGCUCCCUUCUGUUUUCAUGACAGAAUAAUAUUCCACUAUAUGAAAUGAUCACGUUUUGUUUAUCCACUCACCCAUUAAACGUUUGAGUGGCUCCUUUCUUA